ACUUUUACUAAUUCCAUGUGAAACCUCAUGCACAUAAACUUACAUCCCAAGACAUCACCUAAACGGUUAAUCUCGCUAGAAGUAGUAUUUAUAUUUGGUACUUAUCGGUUUUAGAUCCUUGCUAGUACUUAUGUCCCGACAAUCUGAGGCUUUUCCUUCUUUAUGGAGUUUUUCAAGUGUUGGCUGCUUCAAGCAUGCUCUUCUUGUUUUUCCCCUAUGCAAGAUAUCUUUCAUUUGCCAGUUUUCUUUUUGCAUGGAGUUCUAACUUCAUUUAGAAUCCUAUGAGGUUUCAGUCGUUUCAAAUUUGAUCAUUGAUGAACGUCUGGCUUUAUGCUGUAAGUAUAAGAGUUAUAUCAAUUGCCUUUUUGCAUCCCUGGUGGUGUGAUUUAGUACAAGCUUUGGAUUGUCUUCUUGGCUGCUGUGGGGUCAAAUGAAACUUUCUUUAUGGAUCUCAAUAUAACAAUUAGAAUUGCAUGAUAAAAUUCUUAUUUUACUUCUAAAAAAUUAAUAGGGGGUUAAGACUUUAGGAGAUUAUGGCUUUGCUUCGAGCAUGAAAAUAUUUAAAUUUUUUUAUGUAUAUAUUUUUAUAAUUGCUUUUGUGUAUGUUUUUAGGUGAAGAUCACAAAAUAUGAUAGAAUGUUAUAUAUAAAAUAAUAUAUUAAUUUCAAGUUAAUUCGAUGUUAAUCAAGAUAAAUUUGUCUUAAGUUAAAAAGUAUAGCCGAGUUCCAAAAACAAACAGUAAAAAGCAAAGAGCUGAGUUCGGGUGAGAAUGAAACUUGGUAUGACUGUAUCUGAAAAUUCGCCAGCAUUGUAUCAAGUUUUUCUUCUUUUUUUCACACUGAAUAAGAUCGAUUUAAAGAACGUACAAGAAAAGACAAACCCC
rnacentral:lncRNA from 1 species